rnacentral:rRNA from 1 species
UCUUGGUCAUUUAGAGGAAGUAAAAGUCGUAACAAGGUUUCCGUAGGUGAACCUGCGGAAGGAUCAUUAUCGUGGGGCUUCGGCCCUCUUGAGAUAGAACCCUUGCCUUUUUGAGUACCUUUCGUUUCCUCGGCGGGCUCGCCCGCCAAUGGGGACCACAAUAAACCCUUUGUAAUACCUGUAAUCGUCUGACAAAACAAACAAAAAUUAAAACUUUCAACAACGGAUCUCUUGGUUCUGGCAUCGAUGAAGAACGCAGCGAAAUGCGAUAAGUAGUGUGAAUUGCAGAAUUCAGUGAAUCAUCGAAUCUUUGAACGCACAUUGCGCCCUAUGGUAUUCCGUAGGGCAUGCCUGUUCGAGCGUCAUUCAAACCUUCAAGCUCUGCUUGGUGUUGGGCGUCUGUCCUGCCUCACGGCGCGGACUCGCCUCAAAUCUAUUGGCGGCCGGCACGUUGGCUUCGAGCGCAGCAGAAACGCGAACUCGGGCCCGACGGAUCGGCUCCCAGAAGCUACCCCCAUGAAUUUGACCUCGGAUCAGGUAGGGAUACCCGCUGAACUUAAGCAUAUCAAUAAGCGGAGGA